rnacentral:misc_RNA from 1 species
AAAUAAAUAAAUAAAUAAAAGAACUAGGUACUAAAGCUUUUAAACCAUCCAAUUACACAUUCAGAGGAUCAAAUUGAUAAAAGGAAGAAGUAAACAGUAUCCAAUUGAAAUUUCAAUGCUAAUAGAAAUAUAACCCAAGACAAAAAUAAACCCAACAUAAAAUCAGAACAAACUAAUCAAGUACAAUAGCCCCAACUCCAAGGGAUAGCCUGAUAGAAGUGGAUUUAAUCUCUGUAUUGUUGAUAAUGGUUCUAAUUUGAAAGCUAAACCACAAGAAUGGUAU